UAUUUUAAUUCCCAAUGGGAAAAUCGAUGUAUUCUGUGCACUGGUAAAAACAAGAACAAGAGCGGCGUGGGCCGUCGUGCUCGUUAUUUCCCGCCAGCGCGUCAGAUUCGGAGAAACGUGCUGCAAACUGUCCGCAUCAGACCUCGCUUUGCACCCCCCCCCCUCCUCUCUCUCUCUCUCUCUCUAUAUAUAUAUAUAUAUAAAUUACCUUUUUAUUUAAAUUUCACCAUUAAUUGGAUUUUUUUUACCCCCCCCCCCUCUCCGGUUCCAGCGACUUCGCCCCCUCGAAGAAUCUACUAUGUCAACCUGCAACUUCCUGUCAAACAAUAUGAUGCGGCUCGUUUUUCCGCGUCUCUCCUGGCGAACCGCGAUCCAGGUUACAGCUCCAAACAGCAGAACCGAACAGAACCAGGAGCGGCAAUACGAAUAAAUACACUAAUGAUUCGUCGAAUUACGUCGUUUUUACGGCGUGCAGACUGAGAGAUGGAGCUGAAGGAACGAGAUGUGUAGAUCGUGUCUGGCUCACAACCAUGCCGUCUCAUGCCAUUGCACCUAAACAAAUUAGCCAGUGAGCUCUCAGAGCACCGGCAUCUGGCACCGUUCUCCCAAAGAAGAAGCUUAAUGAUCUUUUUGCAGUUUUCUGAAACUCUUGUAAUAGACAUUUAGAAUGGGAAAUAACAUCCCACACUGGCAAAACCAGAGAUCUCCUGUUUCAGUCUGGGUGGUACUUUGACUAAUUAUGCCUUUCUCUGCAUGCAAUGCUCAGAUUUAACAGUGGCUAUUCACCUACGUGUAAUAAGGCAGAGGGUGAAGCAAUCAUUAUGCAAAAAAAAAAAGUUUGUGCCCUGUGAAAGAUUUCUGUCUCAGCGUUACCAUACGACUGCUGAUUCAGUCCCACUGUGACUCCAUAUCUGGAAGAGGUGGGUGGAUGGUGUAGAUUGUACCUUGGGGAGAAGGCAGAUCUGUAGAAGAAAUUCCAGCGUUCACUUAAAAUGUUUGUCUUCUGUCGCCUGAUUUGUUCAUUUUCACAUCCUUCAGUAAAUCAUGUGCUGCAUGUGUGUCGUUUUAAACAAUCCACCAUUACGGCCACACUCCUGUCUCUGUGCCUGCCAUAAAAUGGCACAUUCAUGCUUGCCUUGAAUGGACGUUGCAACAGGGAAGAAACAACAACAGUUGUCUGUAAUAUUAACUAUGAAUGCCCUCCUCUACAAAAUGUAGUGCUUUCCACUUAGGAAUGUGCUGGCAAAUUUGAUCUGUUCAAAAAGCAGCGUGCUCUGGAUUACUCCUCUAAUUAUCACAUGGCAUUCCUGUUUCUUCCUCUGGUAAUUGACUGGCAGCAUCUGCCUGGAGGCCUGAACAAAAGAUGCUCUUAAACUUGCACCGAGACUCCAUGGCCUCUGCUCUUCUGGAUGUUGAAAGGAGCCUCAGUGUUCAUUUCUGGUCAGACAGCUAGAAGGCCCAGCAGUGAGCAUGUCUGAAUGUGCAAUCGACUGAUAACAUCUUAACGUCUAUUAGAUUUUAGCCUUGUAAAGAAAGAAAAGGCCAAACAACGUAAACAGAAUGUCUGGUAAUCAAUUGAAUAAAGUUUGUUUGAGGGGGUGGCGGGCUGUUAUGGCAGAGAAUUAGAAAUGGCUCCAGCAAGACUGCGAGUGAUAGCUUUGGCCCAGAGGGGCCUUCGGAUGGGGUUCUAAUGCCAGGGGGCUGGCUUAGGAGGUUCCCAGCAUGGAACAUUUCACUCAGGGAUCCAGGCCUGGAGGUAUCGAGAACUUGACACAACACUGGAGGGCGUUUUCAUUCUUCCUUUGCUUUCUAAUGGCCAUUGUUCAUUGUAUUAUUCCUCCAUCUGUAAUACUUUUUUUUGACCCCC
ensembl:lncRNA